UAAUAAGAAGCAAUAAUGCAUUCAGUUUCGACCUGACCUUAGAUGAACACAUCAUCCUUAUUAU
rnacentral:tRNA from 1 species